rnacentral:rRNA from 1 species
UCCUAUGCUGUUAACCGAGUCUGCCAGUAUCUGCAGUCACCCCGUGACACUCAUUGGUCUGCUGUUAAGCGGAUUUUGCGCUAUAUUCGUUUCACGGCGGCUCAUGGUUUGCAUAUUCGGCUGUCUGACUCUGGUUGUCUUUCAGCAUAUUCUGAUGCAGACUGUGCUGGCAAUCUGGAUGACAGGCGAUCCACGGGGGGUUAUGUUGUCUUCUUUGGCUCUAACCUGAUUGCCUGGAGUGCUCGGAAACAGGCUACUGUCUCGCGUAGCAGUACUGAGGCUGAGUAUAAGGCUGUGGCCAAUGCCACAUCAGAGAUCAUCUGGGUACAGUCCUUGCUUCAGGAGUUAAGUAUACCCCAAUCACAGCCUCCUGUUCUUUGGUGUGAUAACAUCGGUGCUACAUACCUAUCUGCAAAUCCGGUAUUCCAUGCCCGAACGAAACACAUUGAAGUUGACUAUCACUUUGUGCGUGAACGUGUCUCUCAGAAGCAACUGCAGAUCAAGUUUAUUUCUUCCAAGGAUCAACUUGCUGACAUC